UUAACAUGGCGCUCAUUCGGAAUGUUUUGUUCCCAAAUGCGAUUUUUCAACAUUUACGAUUCAACAAUAUUUUCUGAUCUGAUGUGGAAAUUCGGAUUUCAAAGUAUGGGAAAUCUAGAAUAGAACAUAAAUAUAUGAUUCGGAACUUCGAAAUAGCUGUGAAGCUGACGUAGUGGAAGUUCAUGUUUAAAAUCGGUAAGUUAAUCUUAUUAUGGAUGAUUAUUGCAUUCCUAAAUAUUGAAAAAAGCAAUCAUUUGUUCCAUAACAAAUCAUAACUAAAACAUUAUUUUUCAUUGUAAUUAAAACACUUCUUUAUGAGAAACAAUAAUUUUUUACUUGCAUAAAUGUCCAAAACACUGUCAAAAUCAUAAAUCAUAAAAGCAAAAUCAUAAAAGCAACAAACACUAUCAAAAUCAAAAUUUGUUAGUCUUGUAGCUUCAGUGCUAAUCAGGGUUCAAAAAUAUCCGAUAUUUUGAUAUAUUUUCAAUUACCACUAACUAAAGUCUUCAAAAUAGCAAAUGUAUCCUCAAAUUACUCUUUUUUUUUCUUAUAUUAUAAUUACAGUAUGUAGAUUUAAAAAUAAGUUAUUUAUACAUUAGUUGGAGUCGCAUUUCAUUGGUCUCCACGAGAUGCUCGUUCUCUCUCUAUUUGAUGAGAGUACUGACGUGUGCUUUACUUGUGUUCGCAAUGUAUGAAUACUUCUCCCUUUUCAGAAAGCGUAUGUCUGUCCGCUUUACGUGGCGAAAAUGAUGUGUGGACGAUGUUUGAAUUAAAUCAAAACAUACAUUUCAUUUUAAAGGUUAUGUACUUUUAAGGUUAUUUUCAUAUGAUAUUUACAAUCAUUUGAAAUCUGAUAACUUAAUGUUAUAAAAAUAAAACACAUAUAUGUAUCGAUAUUGAUUGUUUAUUAGGUUGAAUAUUAUAUUUAUACAUGCUUUGUAAAACUGACAUGUACACCUUAAAUAGUUGCUUAUUGUAAUGUGCUCUAUUUAUACAUUUUAGAAAAAUAUUUAAUUUUUUUUUAUGAAUUUUAAUUUAGCUAUUUUUGUUAUUAUUAAAAUUUACUUAUUUUUUGAGUUUUCUGUUAGAUAAAUUCUUCUUCUAUCAAAUCCAAAGAAAAAAUUUCCAGAACUCUUUCUGUAAAUUUUUUCAGAAAGAAGUUUAUUACUCACGAUGAAUACAUGUUUUGUGUUCUGAAAAAUAAAAUGUCUGUUAAGCCUGGUAUAAAUGAGUUGCUAGAUUUUUUCUCAGGUCAAAAUGUUGCCAGAUAUGUAAACAUUUUCAACACAAUUUUUUCUUUUCUAAGAAUUUUGUCUUGUAGAAUAAAAACAAGAAAAAGGCAACUAUACCCAUUUUACCCCAGCUACCCAUUUUACACCGGGUUCCCCUAUUACUUCACUAUAUUAGUUAUGUAAAAUUAAUGUAAUGAAGAUUAUAUAAUUUAUAAAUCAUAUAAAGAUAACAUAUUACUUUUUGGUUAUUUUUAAUGAUAAAUGUACAAUACUAAUAUGAUUGAUAUUAUUUUUAUGUUGCAAAUAUUGUAGUUUAAAAAAUAAAUAUCAAAAUAUGUUCUUUUCAAAAUAAAUAUCGAAUAUAUUUUGUGAUGUAUGUCAUGAUAUAUAUCGGCAAACCCCUAAUUAUCAAUUAUUUUCCAAAUAAAAGAAUUUUUAUUCUCGCAUCUUUCGAAAAUUUAUAGUCAGCAAAUAAAAUUAUUUCAAUAAAGAAUGUAGUAAUAUGUUAAAUUCAUUUAUAAAUUAUAAAAAACUAAACUAGUGCGUCAACAAAUGGAAAAAUUUGCGAGCUUUUUUUGACGAAAAGUCGUUGAAAUCUAGCUCCCGGAGUAAAUCACUUUCAAUACUAAGUAGGGUGAGCUUCGAUAGCCGGUUCUGUCCCAUUGUGGUUCGCAGCCUGUUCUUUAUAAUUUUCAUUUUUGAAAGCGAGCGCUCUCCAGUGCAAUUUGAGACCAUCAAAACCAAGUACAUUCUUAGUGCAAUUUCAAUGUUCGGAAAAAAGCUUUGAAAUUUUGAUUUUCAAGGAUGCGGUAGUAAAACAGCUCCUUGGAUUGGUCUUUUUCAUAGUCUUUUUUGUAUAAGUCUAUCAAAGAUACAAAUUGAACCAACUCAUUACCAAGGAAGGUUCUAAAUCAUCUUUGUAAACUUUUACCAAUUCCUCUGCAGCAUCUUGCAAAUUUGUAGCGUCCAUCUCUUCUAGAUGAUUCAGAAAACCAAAUCUCGAAUGGACAGCUUUGUACGCAUGCAAUCUUUCAAUGAGAGAAACACAAAGCUGUUCGAUCACUGGGAUAAAAACUGGACACUUUAAAUUUAUCUCUGGGUGGCAGAUUUGCAUCUUGUGCCUUCAUGUAAUCAAGUGGAUUUAAUUUCACACUUUUUCUGAUGCGUGAUUGAACGUAUACGUCAGUGUUUGAUAUUUGUUUAGCAGCUUCUUCGUAUUUAUCAAAAUCCUCUCUUUUAGAUUCCACAAAUGAUUUUAACGACUCCAAUGCACGCACAGCAGAUUCAAGAAUCAUUUUCGGGUCCUGUAAAAUCUUGUUUGUUGCAUUGAACCGCUCCAAAAUGUUGUUCCAAAAGAUUGCAAAUAGAGUGGUUUCAAGACCACUCAUUGUAUCUAAAAGACUUCUUGCUUCAUUUCUCACAAUAUCUUUCUGCUCUUCAUUGGAAGAUAUGCCGGUUAAAGCUUUUUUAAUUUCUGAAUGUCCCAUUACAAUAGCCUUUGUGGCUGCAGCUCUACAUGACCAGGGAGGUCAUUCUAAACAUUUUCUACUUUCGAGUUCAAGACGUUACGUCAGAGCCGAUCACGUGACGAGAAAUCUCGCAAAGUGGUAUUCUGUAGUAAAAAAAUUCUUAUCGCGAUGUGGCGACGAAUCCAAGUUCCAGCCGCGAUGGGGGAGGAAGAGUUUUUCGCCGGUUUUGGCGGCGCGGGGGGAGGGGAGGAGGUACGUGAUUUCUUCCAACCAAUGGUCUUUAGGCGCAGAUACUUUUUGUUUUGCUCCAUCCGUGCAAGAUAAGGCGCGAAUUUUGAAGAUUGGCACGCUAAUGGCUCAUACUUCAAAGAAUACGUUUUACAUUGCAAAGAAUCACAUCGAAAUAAUUUUAGAUUUUCUAGAAGCAAAUCCAGAAUUCAUAAAAAUAAAUUCACCGAAAAUUUUACAAAAUAGUACACAAAGGAAAAAUGAGCCGAGGGCUCCGGUGCAAAAAGCAUAGUCAAAUGGCAAAAGGUAAGUCAUAUUUUAUGCAUACGAGUAUUUUAAUAUUACAGUGUCUAAAACAAAAAUCGAAGAGGGGGAAAAAGCCAAUACAUACAUGAGAAAAAAAUUAACCGUACAUCUUGUUGAUUUAUAAUAUAAAACCAUCUAUAAUAGUAAGAACGUCUUGUAUGAAAUAUAUUUUCCCGAGAAACUAUAAUUAAAAUAAUGAUAAUAAUAAUAACUUUAG